CUGAAAUCCAUUAGCCAUGCCUGCCACCAAAGACGUGGCUUUACAGUUAGCGAUUUAGCCGACCUACAUGGUAUGAAGUGACAGAAUAUCCACCGUUGAAUGUCAGAGCAUGGUAUAAGAGUUUCUGACCUGAAUAAUUCCACUGACAUCGCAACGUUGGAUGCUGGAUGAUUACAGAGAUCCCAGGAUCUCCUCAAAAUUCUGGGUUCAAAAUGAUGCAAGGACAAAGGUUCAAAACUUCGUGUGCAAGAGUCCAUGCGACGUCUGGAUCCACCGGGAAUUGUCCGCACACUACAACUACAAACUGUUCGGCGUAGAAGAUAUUCUGUGCCAGCCCCCAACAGUCAACCAUAAACUCAUAAAUUAAGGCUCUAUGUUAGGGAACUAGGAAGGAAGUACAAAAAUAAAUUAAGACCAUAUUUUUUUCACCCAUUUUGGAAAGGUAAACCCGUAUAUAAUCUAGAUAAUUUUAAAUUAAGUUUAAAUAUUUCAUGCUUUUAUUUUUUAUUACGCGCUAGGAAUCAAUUUUGAUUGGGAGUGCUUUCGCUGCCAGCCUCUCCCAAUCAAAAUGGAUUGGGUGUCAAGCGCUGUCAAUGGCAGCCAAUGAGUUAAAUGUUGAUGUUUAUGGCUUGCAAAAAAAAAAAAGAAACCCUAAAGUUUAAUGUCUCAAAAAAAACAAAAAAAAAUUAAACAUUUUUUGGGCCUUCCAACACAUCUUCUGUUAUUGCAGAAAUGUUAGUAUAGUUUUAGCUGACAAUUCUGGGAGAUGAUUGGAUGAAAUUUCACCCAUUGAAAUCAAAUCAUGAGGUUUGGCAUGCCCUCUUUGCUUGUUGGCUCUUUGAAAAUGGUUUAACAAGUGCAACUUCAAAAAGGAUCAUGUUAAGUGCAUGUCUCUCACACAUAACAUUAAAAAUAACCAAUAAAAGCAUGAAAUAUCCCCCAACCAAAAACUUACACUUUGUUCUGGGACUUGAGUAAAAAUGAGCUUGGAUUUUUUUUUUUUUUUGCCCAGCAGAAAAAAAUGCACGACUAAACGGGUUAAGUCUAAUGUCAAAAAUUCAGAACUUCCACUAUAAGGUUAUGUGUAAAACGACCUAAAAUAACAACUGAGUGUCACCCCUUCCAUUUUGCAGUCUUGUCCAUUGUCCUCAACCAUUUUCCCCCCUUCUUAAUAAAAUUAUAUAAACACUUUCACAGUCUAGGCACAUACAGGUUAAGCUAAUCAAUAAAUUUGCCAUAUAGGAUGUGUGCAUGUUUAGUUAUGUUUCAGGACUUGUUGGUUCACCUUUACAUUAAAUAUUUGGAGUUUUAUGUGAUGGUCCACAUGGUCAUCCCCCCCAUGUAGGUGUCAGUCCCUGAAGUGCAGCUGCAACAAGAAGAAAUUGAAGAAAUAAAGCAGAUGUCAAAAUUUUCUAAUUUAUUGAAUGUCUACAGCGAGACUAUCCAUCCUGCAUCAGAUAUUUUGACUUGUUUGAAAUGACAGCACAGCAUGUUUGUUGUGGUUGAUGUGACAGUGCACCAAUGUGCAGAAAUAAUAAAUGAUUGUUUUCUACAAAGUAACAUUUUAUUGAUGACCAGUGUAAUACAAUACAAAUAAUAAACAGGCAAUUGAUCUACAAAAAAGGACUUCC